rnacentral:rRNA from 1 species
GAGUAUCAAUUGGAGGGCAAGUCUGGUGCCAGCAGCCGCGGUAAUUCCAGCUCCAAUAGCGUAUAUUAAACUUGUUGCAGUUAAAAAGCUCGUAGUUGAAUUUCUGCUGUUUCGUUGACUGCGCUUGGCGUUUGUCAUCGUUGCGGCUUGGUUGGGUUUCGAUUAUUCGUUUCCCGGCGUUUACUUUGAGAAAAUUAGAGUGCUUGAAGCAGGCUUUUGCCUUGAAUACUUUAGCAUGGAAUAACGGAGUAGGACUUUGGUUCUAUUUUGUUGGUUUUAGGAGCCAGAGUAAUGGUUAAUAGGAACAGUUGGGGGCAUUCGUAUUUGACUGUCAGAGGUGAAAUUCUU